rnacentral:misc_RNA from 1 species
GUGAAUCAUCGAAUCUUUGAACGCACAUUGCGCCCCUUGGUAUUCCGAUGGGCACGCCUGCGUGAACGUCAUUUAAACACUCGAGCCCCGCUCGGUGAUGGGGUUGGCCGCUUCGGCCUCCGCCCGCAAUCCGUCUGCCUCCCCGCCCGGGACCUACAGAGUAGUGAAACACGCCUCUGGGACUCCGGCCUGCGGGCGGCAAAUCUCUCUUUGAAACUUGACUUCACGUCAGACGAGGUUACCCGCUGAACUUAAGCAUAUCAAUAAGCGGAGGA